rnacentral:misc_RNA from 1 species
GGAAAGAGUAAGGAAAUUCCAUGAAAAGGCAAUUAAUUUUAAGGAAAAUGUGCAUCUAUUAACAUUUAAAAAAAAAAACUGAAAGAAGCAUACUAAUCCUAGAAAAGAUAACCAACGGAAAGAAAUCACUAAAUCUGUGAGCAUGACACUCCAAAUCAGAGGAAAAGAAAGCUAAAGUUAUGAAAAGAAAGCUUUAAUAAAC